rnacentral:rRNA from 1 species
GGGACCAUCCUCCAAGGCUAAAUACUCCUGACUGACCGAUAGUGAACCAGUACCGUGAGGGAAAGGCGAAAAGAACCCCGGCGAGGGGAGUGAAAAAGAACCUGAAACCGUGUACGUACAAGCAGUGGGAGCACGCUUAGGCGUGUGACUGCGUACCUUUUGUAUAAUGGGUCAGCGACUUAUAUUCUGUAGCAAGGUUAACCGAAUAGGGGAGCCGAAGGGAAACCGAGUCUUAACUGGGCGUUAAGUUGCAGGGUAUAGACCCGAAACCCGGUGAUCUAGCCAUGGGCAGGUUGAAGGUUGGGUAACACUAACUGGAGGACCGAACCGACUAAUGUUGAAAAAUUAGCGGAUGACUUGUGGCUGGGGGUGAAAGGCCAAUCAAACCGGGAGAUAGCUGGUUCUCCCCGAAAGCUAUUUAGGUAGCGCCUCGUGAAUUCAUCUCCGGGGGUAGAGCACUGUUUCGGCAAGGGGGUCAUCCCGACUUACCAACCCGAUGCAAACUGCGAAUAC